UACGAAGGGGGCUAGCGUUGUUCGGAGUUACUGGGCGUAAAGGGCGCGUAGGCGGCGCACCAAGUCAGGCGUGAAAGCCCUGGGCUCAACCCGGGAAUUGCGCUUGAGACUGGUGUGCUUGAGUACGGGAGAGGAUAGUGGAAUUCCCAGUGUAGAGGUGAAAUGCGUAGAUAUCAGGAGGAACACCGAUGGCGAAGGCAGGUCUCUGGGCUGACACUGACGCUCAUGCACGAAAGCGUGGGGAGCAAACAGG
rnacentral:rRNA from 1 species